CCCAAUCACAAAUUCACCUAUAUUGUUUCUUCACUCUUUGACAAAAUCAGGAGCAAUGGUGACCUGCUCCAGUGACUUGCUCCGGUGUAAACGUGCUCAGGUGACUUGCUCCAGUGAUCUGAUCAUUGAUCUGCUCAGUACUUGAUCGAAAAUUGAGGUGUUUGCUUUGAGCAAAAAAAGCAGUAUUGGUUGUGCCCUUUCAAAAUCGAUUUCGGCGAAGUCAAUCUCAUUGGUGAACGGAAAUCAACGUUACCAAUUCCGGUGACGUCAAGCCUCCAGAGCUAUCAUAUAUAAUCUAUGCUGAAAGUGGAGAUGUAAACUUUAUGCAUAAUUGUUUGGAUACCUUGGAGAUGUAAACUUUAUGAAGUUGAAUUUAUCUGUAAUUUGGAUACCUUGGUUCUUAUUCUGGUAACUGUUUGAUAAAUUGUUAUUUAAGAUAUAUUUUAUUUGGAAUCAUAUACAUACACAUUUAUGUAUAUGUAUAUAUAAUUAAUAUAAUUCAAGAUCAGAUGAUAUAAUAUGUGUAUGUACCUAGCCGUUUGUUUUUGUUGGUUUGGACCUUGUUUUGCCAGUAACAUUCCCAGUUUGUAACU